ACUUGAUUAUUCUAACCAUAAUUUCCCCCCCUAUGUGCUUUAUUUAAGUGGAUAACAAUUACGAGUUGGGGAGAUUGCAAUUGAUGUUAAAGAGUGAUUUUGUAAUAGUUAUGAAGCUGUGGAGUUAUUUUGCGGAUGGAAGGUGGUGGAUGAAAGUACAGGCGGAAAAAAAAAAAGCUGGCACAGUAAAUGAAAGAGUGUGUAUGCAUGUGUUUUCUUCACAUGAAGACUUGGCAUAGUUUAAGUCUCCCGGUUCACUGGCAUGUGAUGGUACAUGUUUUUUUGAGAGCAAUGUUAGAUGAUAUGUUCGUUAUAUGACUAGCAGAGGUUCCCGGUCAGUCAGCUUGCGGUGCUUGCCUGAGAGGUCGACUGGCUUCGGCCAAGUAAUAAAAUAUUGUCGGAAUCUCAAGCGUGACUAUUGUCAACUCAAGAAGAGGGGCAGAGGUAAGACUAAAGUGAAUCUCAUGGAGAAUGAUAUCUUUACAAUAGUUGCGAUGGAGGUGAAUCUGGUAGUAAGGGGGAAGGAAUGAGUUAUUGACAAGGUGUUGCUUGUAGAAAUGGGACUCUUAAGUUGUAGAAAUGAAUGUAAAUCAUAUAUGCACAAUCACACAAUGAACACAAAGAUUUAUAUGGCUUAGCAAAGGUAAGAUGAUAUUUUGCUUCACUAUCAAUGGAGAAUAGGGUUAUAGUUGUUCAUGUUCAUACCUCUCUUAGACUACUUAGAGAGAAAUGACCAUUGCUAUGUAUAUGUAGGAAAGAGAUGUAUCAAAUGGUUUAUAUGUUUUGAGUGUUGCAAAUGUACAUUCACCAUUAAACAAUUAUCAAAGUUAAUACACAAGUGUUUUACAUUUGU